rnacentral:rRNA from 1 species
GACAGAGGGUGCAAACGUUGUUCGGAAUUACUGGGCGUAAAGCGUGCGCAGGCGGUUCGUUGUGUCUGAUGUGAAAGCCCCGGGCUCAACCUGGGAAUGGCAUUGGAAACUGGCGAGCUAGAGUGUGGCAGAGGUCGGUGGAAUUCCGGGUGGAGCGGUGAAAUGCGUAGAGAUCCGGAGGAACACCAGGGGCGAAGGCGGCCGACUGGCCGAGUGCUGACGCUGAGGCGCGACGGCGUGGGGAGCAAACCGG